UACAGAGGUCUCAAGCGUUGUUCGGAUUCAUUGGGCGUAAAGGGUGCGUAGGUGGCGCCGUAAGUCAGGUGUGAAAUUUCGGAGCUUAACUCCGAAACUGCAUUUGAUACUGCGGUGCUUGAGGACUGGAGAGGAGACUGGAAUUUACGGUGUAGCAGUGAAAUGCGUAGAGAUCGUAAGGAAGACCAGUGGCGAAGGCGGGUCUCUGGGACGGUACUGACGCUGGAGACGCGAAAGCGUGGGGAGCGAACAGG
rnacentral:rRNA from 1 species